rnacentral:rRNA from 1 species
UACAGGGGGGGCAAGCGUUGUUCGGAAUUACUGGGCGUAAAGGGUUCGUAGGUGGCCAACUAAGUCAGACGUGAAAUCCCUCAGCUUAACUGGGGAACUGCGUCUGAUACUGGAUGGCUUGAGUGCAGGAGAGGAAUGCGGAAUUCCAGGUGUAGCGGUGAAAUGCGUAGAUAUCUGGAGGAACACCGGUGGCGAAGGCGGCAUCCUGGACCGGCACUGACGCUGAGGAGCGAAAGCCAGGGGAGCAAACGGG